rnacentral:rRNA from 1 species
UAGGGCGGGACACGUGGUAUCCUGUCUGAAUAUGGGGGGACCAUCCUCCAAGGCUAAAUACUCCUGACUGACCGAUAGUGAACCAGUACCGUGAGGGAAAGGCGAAAAGAACCCCGGCGAGGGGAGUGAAAAAGAACCUGAAACCGUGUACGUACAAGCAGUGGGAGCACGCUUAGGCGUGUGACUGCGUACCUUUUGUAUAAUGGGUCAGCGACUUAUAUUCUGUAGCAAGGUUAACCGAAUAGGGGAGCCGAAGGGAAACCGAGUCUUAACUGGGCGUUAAGUUGCAGGGUAUAGACCCGAAACCCGGUGAUCUAGCCAUGGGCAGGUUGAAGGUUGGGUAACACUAACUGGAGGACCGAACCGACUAAUGUUGAAAAAUUAGCGGAUGACUUGUGGCUGGGGGUGAAAGGCCAAUCAAACCGGGAGAUAGCUGGUUCUCCCCGAAAGCUAUUUAGGUAGCGCCUCGUGAAUUCAUCUCCGGGGGUAGAGCACUGUUUCGGCAAGGGGGUCAUCCCGACUUACCAACCCGAUGCAAACUGCGAAUACCGGAGAAUGUUAUCACGGGAGACACACGGCGGGUGCUAACGUCCGUCGUGAAGAGGGAAACAACCCAGACCGCCAGCUAAGGUCCCAAAGUCAUGGUUAAGUGGGAAACGAUGUGGGAAGGCCCAGACAGCCAGGAUGUUGGCUUAGAAGCAGCCAUCAUUUAAAGAAAGCGUAAUAGCUCACUGGUCGAGUCGGCCUGCGCGGAAGAUGUAACGGGGCUAAACCAUGCACCGAAGCUGCGGCAGCGACGCUGAUGCGUUGUUGGGUAGGGGAGCGUUCUGUAAGCCUGUGAAGGUGUGCUGUGAGGUAUGCUGGAGGUAUCAGAAGUGCGAAUGCUGACAUAAGUAACGAUAAAGCGGGUGAAAAGCCCGCUCGCCGGAAGACCAAGGGUUCCUGUCCAACGUUAAUCGGGGCAGGGUGAGUCGACCCCUAAGGCGAGGCCGAAAGGCGUAGUCGAUGGGAAACAGGUUAAUAUUCCUGUACUUGGUGUUACUGCGAAGGGGGGACGGAGAAGGCUAUGUUGGCCGGGCGACGGUUGUCCCGGUUUAAGCGUGUAGGCUGGUUUUCCAGGCAAAUCCGGAAAACUAAGGCUGAGGCGUGAUGACGAGGCACUACGGUGCUGAAGCAACAAAUGCCCUGCUUCCAGGAAAAGCCUCUAAGCAUCAGGUAACAUCAAAUCGUACCCCAAACCGACACAGGUGGUCAGGUAGAGAAUACCAAGGCGCUUGAGAGAACUCGGGUGAAGGAACUAGGCAAAAUGGUGCCGUAACUUCGGGAGAAGGCACGCUGAUAUGUAGGUGAAGUCCCUCGCGGAUGGAGCUGAAAUCAGUCGAAGAUACCAGCUGGCUGCAACUGUUUAUUAAAAACACAGCACUGUGCAAACACGAAAGUGGACGUAUACGGUGUGACGCCUGCCCGGUGCCGGAAGGUUAAUUGAUGGGGUCAGCGCAAGCGAAGCUCUUGAUCGAAGCCCCGGUAAACGGCGGCCGUAACUAUAACGGUCCUAAGGUAGCGAAAUUCCUUGUCGGGUAAGUUCCGACCUGCACGAAUGGCGUAAUGAUGGCCAGGCUGUCUCCACCCGAGACUCAGUGAAAUUGAACUCGCUGUGAAGAUGCAGUGUACCCGCGGCAAGACGGAAAGACCCCGUGAACCUUUACUAUAGCUUGACACUGAACAUUGAGCCUUGAUGUGUAGGAUAGGUGGGAGGCUUUGAAGUGUGGACGCCAGUCUGCAUGGAGCCGACCUUGAAAUACCACCCUUUAAUGUUUGAUGUUCUAACGUUGACCCGUAAUCCGGGUUGCGGACAGUGUCUGGUGGGUAGUUUGACUGGGGCGGUCUCCUCCUAAAGAGUAACGGAGGAGCACGAAGGUUGGCUAAUCCUGGUCGGACAUCAGGAGGUUAGUGCAAUGGCAUAAGCCAGCUUGACUGCGAGCGUGACGGCGCGAGCAGGUGCGAAAGCAGGUCAUAGUGAUCCGGUGGUUCUGAAUGGAAGGGCCAUCGCUCAACGGAUAAAAGGUACUCCGGGGAUAACAGGCUGAUACCGCCCAAGAGUUCAUAUCGACGGCGGUGUUUGGCACCUCGAUGUCGGCUCAUCACAUCCUGGGGCUGAAGUAGGUCCCAAGGGUAUGGCUGUUCGCCAUUUAAAGUGGUACGCGAGCUGGGUUUAGAACGUCGUGAGACAGUUCGGUCCCUAUCUGCCGUGGGCGCUGGAGAACUGAGGGGGGCUGCUCCUAGUACGAGAGGACCGGAGUGGACGCAUCACUGGUGUUCGGGUUGUCAUGCCAAUGGCACUGCCCGGUAGCUAAAUGCGGAAGAGAUAAGUGCUGAAAGCAUCUAAGCACGAAACUUGCCCCGAGAUGAGUUCUCCCUGACUCCUUGAGAGUCCUGAAGGAACGUUGAAGACGACGACGUUGAUAGGCCGGGUGUGUAAGCGCAGCGAUGCGUUGAGCUAACCGGUACUAAUGAAC